UACGUAGGGUCCGAGCGUUGUCCGGAGUACUGGGCGUAAAGCGCGCGCAGGCGGCGGUGCUGGCCCGGCGUGAAAGCCCCCGGCUCAACCGGGGAGGGUCGUCGGGGACUGGUGGACUUGAGGGCGGCAGGGGCUGGUGGAAUCCCCGGUGUAGUGGUGAAAUGCGUAGAGAUCGGGGGGGAACACCCGUGGCGAAGGCGGCCAGCUGGGCCGACCCUGACACUGAGGCGCGAAGGCGUGGGGAGCGAACGGG
rnacentral:rRNA from 1 species